rnacentral:piRNA from 6 species
CUGGGUCGGGGUUUCGUACGUAGCAGA